CAUGUAUUCAUGCCCUGUAAACAUUGCUAUACAGAGUAGAUUAGCAUGGCCCCUGCGCAUGGAUGACACGCAAAAUCGUGAAGCGUUCCACAUUUUU
rnacentral:snRNA from 1 species